AAGGGUUUCGGCUCGUAAAACUCUGUUGUAAAGAAGAACAUAUCUGAGAGUAACUGUUCAGGUAUUGACGGUAUUAACCAGAAAGCCACGGCUAACUACGUGCCAGCAGCCGCGGUAAUACGUAGGUGGCAAGCGUUGUCCGGGAUUUAUUGGGCGUAAAGCGAGCGCAGGCGGUUUUUUAAGUCUGAUGUGAAAGCCUUCGGCUCAACCGAAGAAGUGCAUCGGAAACUGGGAAACUUGAGUGCAGAAGAGGACAGUGGAACUCCAUGUGUAGCGGUGAAAUGCGUAGAUAUAUGGAAGAACACCAGUGGCGAAGGCGGCUGUCUGGUCUGUAACUGACGCUGAGGCUCGAAAGUAUGGGUAGCAAACAGGAUUAGAUACCCUGGUAGUCCAUACCGUAAACGAUGAAUGCUAAGUGUUGGAGGGUUUCCGCCCUUCAGUGCUGCAGCUAACGCAUUAAGCAUUCCGCCUGGGGAGUACGGCCGCAAGGCUGAAACUCAAAGGAAUUGACGGGGGCCCGCACAAGCGGUGGAGCAUGUGGUUUAAUUCGAAGCUACGCGAAGAACCUUACCAGGUCUUGACAUACUAUGCAAAUCUAAGAGAUUAGACGUUCCCUUCGGGGACAUGGAUACAGGUGGUGCAUGGUUGUCGUCAGCUCGUGUCGUGAGAUGUUGGGUUAAGUCCCGCAACGAGCGCAACCCUUAUUAUCAGUUGCCAGCAUUAAGUUGGGCACUCUGGUGAGACUGCCGGUGACAAACCGGAGGAAGGUGGGGAUGACGUCAAAUCAUCAUGCCCCUUAUGACCUGGGCUACACACGUGCUACAAUGGAUGGUACAACGAGUUGCGAACUCGCGAGAGUAAGCUAAUCUCUUAAAGCCAUUCUCAGUUCGGAUUGUAGGCUGCAACUCGCCUACAUGAAGUCGGAAUCGCUAGUAAUCGCGGAUCAGCAUGCCGCGGUGAAUACGUUCCCGGGCCUUGUACACACCGCCCGUCACACCAUGA
rnacentral:rRNA from 1 species